GUGUGUGUGGUUGCGUGCGCGUGUGUGUGCAGUAGCCUACUGUAUGUACAAUGCAUAGACAUACUGUAUAGCCUAAGCUUCAUUUGGGUCUAUUCAAAUGAACUGAAUAGAUGGUUUGCGACAGGUACCUAUAACACACACUAAAAGAAUCUCCAAGUGUCAUUCAGAACUUAUUUAAUGCAUGCAUAAUAAAAUAAAUAAGAUACAGUGCUGGCCAGAACAUAAUCUUUUAACAACGGCCACAUCCAAUGAAACAAUAUGUUUAGCUGGCAGCAAACGUUUGUUAGUCAAUGAAACCGAGACCUAUCAGCACCAUGACGUAAUUAAUGUUCACGACAUAAUUCCAGCAGCCGCAGUCGCGCAUACACGCGCAAGAUUUCACGCGCAAAAACCGUUACAACCGUUGCAGCGCGAGCACAGGGACUGAGAGGAACAGCGCACCUAUCUGAGGUAAAACCUAACAAUUUUACUAUUCACUUUAUAAAAAAUAGAAGAUAACAUUAACGUUAUGUAGCCUUAUGUUAAUAUUAAAGCGUGGGCUGCAUAUUUUGAGUGUUUUUGAAGAUCUAAGACCGGAUGUCUAGAAAUAAUGGGAAUCUUCAGUUCCGAAUCACAAACGUGAUGUAACCUAUUUUUGAUAUAGUACUGUAAAUACAUUAUUAAUAGUAUAUAAAUGUAUAUUUAUUUUUGCAAAUGAACUGUUAUGUGAUAUCAUUCUCCUCUAAACUGCAAUUAUUUUUCUAGGGACUGAAACAAAUAUGAGCACAGAAGUUAUUCAAUGGACUACUCAAGAUGUGACUGGUUGACUGGAAAAAGUUUCCACAAAUUUAUCCUAAUUUCCUAAUUAUUUCAAGGUUGAUCUCACAGGAAUGCCUACUCGUUUUAACUGUGUCAUAUGCAGCAAACAAACAUUUUCUAUAAACAGACAUAUUGGCCUUUAUCACCAAAAUAGCCCAAAAUUUGAAUUCACACGUGGAUUAAAUAGUUGUGGCAAAAUAAACAAAAUCUUAAUUUCCUAUAGAUUAGGUUAAAAUGUAUGUUUGCUGCAAUAUAUAAUUCAGAAUGCAAUUUUGUUAAAAUUAUCAUCUUCUACUCCUUGUUUUAGAGAAUGAAAUUGAUGGGGAUACGUUACUUAACCUAACUGAGAAUAUGAGCUAAAUGUUUUCCUAAAAUAAAGGAUCAAGUUAAAUUCAGACUACACAGAAACAAAUAAAGACUGAAAUGCCUACCAAGACUACACACAUCAGUCAUGAGUAUCCAACAAGUUACCAAUUAAACAAGGUGUGAUUAUCCCUUGUCACCAAAUACCAGUUCUUGAGAGACUGGUAAGAGAAUGGAACCACAAGAUUUCAUCAAAAGUCCAACAGAUAACCAGUGCAGAGAGGACUGCAUGGCAUAGACAAUGACUUAGAGGACUAAAUCCCUAUCCAGCCCUUAAAGUCCCUUCAGUUCUUGCAUUUGAGGUCCAAAGCAUACUUGACACAGACAUUGAAAGAAACAUGCUGAAAAAUCCAGGCCUGGUGGCACAGAAAGUGAUUAAUGAGUGCCACAGAAGACAUUUUGGAGUGCAUAUCUGUACCGAACUGGA